rnacentral:piRNA from 1 species
UGAAAUUAUGUUAUGGUGGUUGACUAGCCU